AUUGAACGCUGGCGGCAUGCCUUACACAUGCAAGUCGAACGGUAACGCGGGGCAACCUGGCGACGAGUGGCGAACGGGUGAGUAAUAUAUCGGAACGUGCCCAGUAGUGGGGAUAGCCCGGCGAAAGACCGGAUUAAUACCGCAUACGACCUGAGGGUGAAAGCGGGGGAGUCGCAAGACCUCGCGCUACUGGAGCGGCCGAUGUCGGAUUAGCUAGUUGGUGAGGUAAAGGCNCACCAAGGCGACGAUCCGUAGCUGGUCUGAGAGGAUGAUCAGCCACACUGGGACUGAGACACGGCCCAGACUCCUACGGGAGGCAGCAGUGGGGAAUUUUGGACAAUGGGGGCAACCCUGAUCCAGCCAUGCCGCGUGAGUGAAGAAGGCCUUAGGGUUNUAAAGCUCUUUUACCCGGGAUGAUAAUGACAGUACCGGGAGAAUAAGCUCCGGCUAACUCCGUGCCAGCAG
rnacentral:rRNA from 1 species